AGUGAAUAGAUACCCGGGUAGUCCACGCCCUAAACUAUGUCAACUAGGUGUUGGGUGGGUAAAACCAUUUAGUACCGUAGCUAAACGCGUGAAAGUUGACCGCCUGGGGAGUACGGCCGCAAGGUUAAAACUCAAAGGAAUUGACGGGGACCCGCACAAGCGGUGGAUGAUGUGGAUUAAUUCGAUGCAACGCGAAAAACCUUACCUACCCUUGACAUGCCAGGAACUUGCCAGAGAUGGCUUGGUGCCCGAAAGGGAGCCUGGACACAGGUGCUGCAUGGCUGUCGUCAGCUCGUGUCGUGAGAUGUUGGGUUAAGUCCCGCAACGAGCGCAACCCUUGUCGUUAAUUGCCAUCAUUUGGUUGGGCACUUUAACGAGACUGCCGGUGACAAACCGGAGGAAGGUGGGGAUGACGUCAAGUCCUCAUGGCCCUUAUGGGUAGGGCUUCACACGUCAUACAAUGGUCGGUACAGAGGGUUGCCAAGCCGCGAGGCGGAGCCAAUCCCAGAAAGCCGAUCGUAGUCCGGAUUGCAGGCUGCAACUCGCCUGC
rnacentral:rRNA from 1 species